CAAUAGCGUAUAUUAAAGUUGUUGCAGUUAAAAAGCUCGUAGUUGAACUUUGGGCCUGGCAGGCCGGUCCGCUUUUUGGCGAGUACUGACCCUGCCGGGCCUUUCCUUCUGGCUAACCUCCCCUCUGGAGAGGCGAACCAGGACUUUUACUUUGAAAAAAUUAGAGUGUUCAAAGCAGGCCUUUGCUCGAAUAUAUUAGCAUGGAAUAAUAGAAUAGGACGUUUGGUUCUAUUUUGUUGGUUUCUAGGACCAUCGUAAUGAUUAAUAGGGACGGUCGGGGGCAUCAGUAUUCAGUUGUCAGAGGUGAAAUUCUUGGAUUUACUGAAGACUAACUACUGCGAAAGCAUUUGCCAAGGACGUUUUCAUUAA
rnacentral:rRNA from 1 species